CCCCGCGGCAGCGGGACCCAUCAGGGGCGGCGCGCGAGCCCCGCGACUCGAGUGGGGGGGUUGGCCACGCCAAGCAGGCGGGGAGACGGGAAGCGCACCCCGAGUCGGCUCAGAUCACAUGGGCUGGGUGUGGGGGAGGGGGAGGCGCGGGGAGCUCGGCCCGGGCUGUUCGCUGGGCCGGGAGGCGGCAGCGCCCCCGGGCCCCCCUAGUUCGGACUAUUCAUUCAAGUUCCUGGGGCCCUGCGCCCGAUUCGGAGGUGGCACCCGCCGCCCUCCCUGCCUCUGUGCCCCCGUUUCCAGCCACCGCGCGGAAAUUUAGGUCAAGGACGCCGGGAGCACACCCACACCCUGCGCUCCCAGGGCAGUCCUCGAGAACCCCGGGAUCUGGGGGGCUUGCGGAUGGAGGAGACCCUCCUGCACGAACACCAGCCACAAGUUUUAUUUUCCCUUCGCGCGGCAAGUUCUCUGGCUCCCGCUCCACACUGGCACGUCCUGCACGGCUCCCCGCCCUUCCCCGCCAGAGGCAGAAGUCAGUGGCUACCUUCCUGAUGGAGACUUGAACAAACUGUUAAGUGGUGAGCUGGGAGGAGACCUGAUGGGGCGGGGCCCCGAGCACUGCAGUGUCCAAGCCAGAGACUGAUAAAGGACUAAAGGAGAAGGCUACUACGUCACUGCACUGUUUUUCUUAAGAUUGUGUUGUUUUGUUGAGAUGGUGUCUCAUGCGGCCCAGGCUGAUGGUGAACUCCAUAGAUUGCGGAGGAUCACGGCCUUGAACUUCUGACAUUCUUGCCUCUGCUGUUGCAAUUGUAGCUUGGGGCCACCGUGCCAGGUUUGCAGU
rnacentral:lncRNA from 1 species